rnacentral:rRNA from 1 species
GAUGAACGCUGGCGGCGUGCCUAAUACAUGCAAGUCGAACGAACAGACGAGGAGCAUGCUCCUCUGACGUUAGCGGCGGACGGGUGAGUAACACGUGGAUAACCUACCUAUAAGACUGGGAUAACUUCGGGAAACCGGAGCUAAUACCGGAUAAUAUAUUGAACCGCAUGGUUCAAUAGUGAAAGACGGUUUUGCUGUCACUUAUAGAUGGAUCCGCGCCGCAUUAGCUAGUUGGUAAGGUAACGGCUUACCAAGGCAACGAUGCGUAGCCGACCUGAGAGGGUGAUCGGCCACACUGGAACUGAGACACGGUCCAGACUCCUACGGGAGGCAGCAGUAGGGAAUCUUCCGCAAUGGGCGAAAGCCUGACGGAGCAACGCCGCGUGAGUGAUGAAGGUCUUCGGAUCGUAAAACUCUGUUAUUAGGGAAGAACAAAUGUGUAAGUAACUAUGCACGUCUUGACGGUACCUAAUCAGAAAGCCACGGCUAACUACGUG